GACGAACGCUGGCGGCGUGCUUAACACAUGCAAGUCGAACGAUGAAGCCGGAGCUUGCUCUGGUGAAUUAGUGGCGAACGGGUGAGUAACACGUGAGUAACCUGCCCUUGACUCUGGGAUAACUGCGGGAAACUGUAGCUAAUACCGGAUACGACCCUCGGAGGCAUCUCUUGGGGGUGGAAAGAAUUUCGGUCAAGGAUGGACUCGCGGCCUAUCAGCUAGUUGGUGAGGUAAAGGCUCACCAAGGCGACGACGGGUAGCCGGCCUGAGAGGGUGACCGGCCACACUGGGACUGGGACACGGCCCAGACUCCUACGGGAGGAAGCAGUGGGGAAUAUUGCACAAUGGGCGCAAGCCUGAUACAGCAACGCCGCGUGAGGGAUGACGGCCUUCGGGUGGUAAACCGCUUUUAGCAGGGAAGAAGCGAAAGUGACGGUACCUGCAGAAAAAGCACCGGCUAACUACGUGCCAGCCGCCGCCGUAA
rnacentral:rRNA from 1 species